rnacentral:guide_RNA from 1 species
AUAUAAAACAUACAUCAACGGGAAUAGAACGUUUGAAUAAUAGAUAUGUAG